rfam:Myotis lucifugus cont2.56464, whole genome shotgun sequence.
GGCGGUUCUCAGGUGACACACCCCGAAAUCGGGCUCCCUCCUCUCUGGUUCUGGGUGCGAACCGCU